rnacentral:rRNA from 1 species
GACGAACGCUGGCGGCGUGCUUAACACAUGCAAGUCGAACGGAAAGGCCCUGCUUUUGUGGGGUGCUCGAGUGGCGAACGGGUGAGUAACACGUGAGUAACCUGCCCUUGACUUUGGGAUAACUUCGGGAAACUGGGGCUAAUACCGGAUAGGAGCUCCUGCUGCAUGGUGGGGGUUGGAAAGUUUCGGCGGUUGGGGAUGGACUCGCGGCUUAUCAGCUUGUUGGUGGGGUAGUGGCUCACCAAGGCUUUGACGGGUAGCCGGCCUGAGAGGGUGACCGGCCACAUUGGGACUGAGAUACGGCCCAGACUCCUACGGGAGGCAGCAGUGGGGAAUAUUGCACAAUGGGCGGAAGCCUGAUGCAGCAACGCCGCGUGCGGGAUGACGGCCUUCGGGUUGUAAACCGCUUUCGCCUGUGACGAAGCGUGAGUGACGGUAAUGGGUAAAGAAGCACCGGCUAACUACGUGCCAGCAGCCGCGGUGAUACGUAGGGUGCGAGCGUUGUCCGGAUUUAUUGGGCGUAAAGGGCUCGUAGGUGGUUGAUCGCGUCGGAAGUGUAAUCUUGGGGCUUAACCCUGAGCGUGCUUUCGAUACGGGUUGACUUGAGGAAGGUAGGGGAGAAUGGAAUUCCUGGUGGAGCGGUGGAAUGCGCAGAUAUCAGGAGGAACACCAGUGGCGAAGGCGGUUCUCUGGGCCUUUCCUGACGCUGAGGAGCGAAAGCGUGGGGAGCGAACAGGCUUAGAUACCCUGGUAGUCCACGCUGUAAACGGUGGGUACUAGGUGUGGGGUCCAUUCCACGGGUUCCGUGCCGUAGCUAACGCUUUAAGUACCCCGCCUGGGGAGUACGGCCGCAAGGCUAAAACUCAAAGGAAUUGACGGGGCCCCGCACAAGCGGCGGAGCAUGCGGAUUAAUUCGAUGCAACGCGUAGAACCUUACCUGGGUUUGACAUGGAUCGGGAGCGCUCAGAGAUGGGUGUGCCUCUUUUGGGGUCGGUUCACAGGUGGUGCAUGGCUGUCGUCAGCUCGUGUCGUGAGAUGUUGGGUUAAGUCCCGCAACGAGCGCAACCCUUGUUCACUGUUGCCAGCACGUUAUGGUGGGGACUCAGUGGAGACCGCCGGGGUCAACUCGGAGGAAGGUGGGGAUGACGUCAAGUCAUCAUGCCCCUUAUGUCCAGGGCUUCACGCAUGCUACAAUGGCUGGUACAGAGAGUGGCGAGCCUGUGAGGGUGAGCGAAUCUCGGAAAGCCGGUCUCAGUUCGGAUUGGGGUCUGCAACUCGACCUCAUGAAGUCGGAGUCGCUAGUAAUCGCAGAUCAGCAACGCUGCGGUGAAUACGUUCCCGGGGCU